rnacentral:rRNA from 1 species
UACGUAGGGUGCAAGCGUUGUCCGGAAUUAUUGGGCGUAAAGGGCUCGUAGGCGGUUUGUCACGUCGGGAGUGAAAACUCAGGGCUUAACCCUGAGCCUGCUUCCGAUACGGGCAGACUAGAGGUAUGCAGGGGAGAACGGAAUUCCCGGUGUAGCGGUGAAAUGCGCAGAUAUCGGGAGGAACACCCGUAGCGAAGGCGGCACUCUGGGCCGGUACUGACGCUGAGGAGCGAAAGCGUGGGGAGCAAACAGG